rnacentral:rRNA from 1 species
AAAGGGUCCGUAGGCGGGCCCGUAAGUCAGUGGUGAAAUCUCAUAGCUCAACUAUGAAACUGCCAUUGAUACUGCGGGCCUUGAGUAAGGUAGAGGUAGCUGGAAUAAGUAGUGUAGCGGUGAAAUGCAUAGAUAUUACUUAGAACACCAAUUGCGAAGGCAGGUUACCAUGUCUUAACUGACGCUGAUGGACGAAAGCGUGGGGAGCGAACAGGAUUAGAUACCCGUGU